ACACAAGCACACAGGCACACACUUUCAGUCUCACACACGCACACGAUGGCAGGCAGAGGAAGAAAUCUGCCAUGAAACUUAAUCAGCGAGGGUCAUGUCGGGGAGUGAGGAACAGAUUAAAUUAGCAUAGUAUUAGAUAUGGAAAAUGAUUUCUGUCAAAACCAUCCUUACCACAAUUAUAAUAUGUUAAUUACGUAUUUCAUUAAGGGGGUUGAUUAUGGCCCUGAGAUGUUUUUAUAUUAUAUUCAUGAGUCCACUGUUGGUCCUGAGCAGUUGCUUGCUGUUCUUCAGAAAAACCCUCCAGCUCCUGCAUAUUUGAACCCUUUCCAAAAGUGGCUGUAUGAUUUUGAGAUGCACAUUUUCACACUGAGGACAACUGAAGGACUCAUACACAACUAUUACAAAAGGUGAAAACAUUUAUUGAUGCUCAAGAAGGGAACAAAAUGCAUUAAGAGCCGGGGGAGUAAACUUUUGAACAGGAUGGCGAUGACUAAAUUCUUCUCAUUUUGUUUAACGAUCAUAUUUUUUCAUUUAGUACUGGACUUCAGAAGCUACAUAAAUACUUACAUGUUUCCCAGAAGACAAAAUAAGUACAAUUUACCCUGAUCAUCAAAUUUAAAAAGUUUACACCCCUCGUCUCUUAAUGCAUUGUGUGGCCUCAGUACAUGUGAUGUGUAACGUGAUGAGAUUCAUACUUUGCUUUAAUAAAUAUAAUAUUGAUUACAUUGUUAAAGUGUUAAAGUGUAAAUGUAUAUAUAUAUAUAUAUAUAUAUAUAUAUAUAUAUAUAUAUAUAUAUAUAUAUAUAUAUAUAUAUAUAUAUAUAUAUAUAUAUAUAUAUAAUUUAAAUGGCAUUUCAGCCCCCAAGCACGAGAGUUAAUAUGACACAAACCUACUUGUGCAAAUUCUGAAUUUUGUGUAAAUUAGUUGAGCUGUGCUAAUUUUGAUGCUGUUCAGCUUUUUUGGCAAGACAAGGUUAAUUGAAGCUGUGAUGCAGAAAUGAUCGCUCUCAAACAAGUAGUACAGCAAGGCCUCGUUGAACGCCACGGCAUUGAUAAAGACAAUAUAUUGUGUGACUAUGUGGGCGCAGACGUGUUUGUGUGGACAACACUAUGUCUCAGCAUGUGUUCCUGAGCUUGCACACAACACGCAGUAUUCAUAAAGAUAAUCGAGGGGGUCGGAAAACAGAUAUUUUAAUCACUGUUGUCUUGACGCGAACAGCAAAUGUUGUAAUCGGUACAAUGACGGUGUAAUCUGCAUGUGUGUUUGCUGUUAAAACGGCAAUGUGUGAGCCGCAAGAGCUGCUGAAGAUUCUCUGUAACGCCACCUACUCAAAUUAUGGAGCAGGAACAUAUUUGCCAGGGCGAUGUGUUAGUGGGCUGGUGAGCUCAGUUUUGAUUUCUCACUAUUCUAAAUUUGCACAGCGCAAUUAUGAGUCGUACUAAGUUCGCCGAUACCAAAUAAAGCAGGUUUCUUUUUACAUCUUGUGUCAUCCAUCAAAACAGAAAGUCAUCUUCCUCUGCUAACCGAGAAAAUGCAGCAUUUAUGAAAGGACACAAAUGACUUUAUUUUAAUGGAAUGAAAGCCAAAGGUGUAGGAGUCAACACCACGGCCUGUGUGUGUGUCAGGUGUGGCUCAUGCUUGGCUGCUCCAUGACCAGUGUGUAUGUGUGUGUAGGGUUGUGUAGGGUGUUUUUGUGCAUCUCUGCAGCCCCCCCUCCCUACACAGUGAACGCUGGCAAACAGCUAAAAGCUUCAGCAGAGUGUGCCAUAUGUGAACAGAACUAAGCCAAAGCAGGGGAGCCAUAUGCACUUCAACUGCUUUUUUUAGCUAAUUAUCCCAAAAUGUCUGUUUUAUAGAACAAAUCCGUGAGUUACACUGCAUUUACCACAUAGUGCACACUCACACAGGAAAAAUGUCAAAUUAUCUACAAACAAAAUAAACAUAAAGAUAACGAUGGAGAAUUUUUUGAGGAAAGUGUAAAAGAAUAUUCAUUCAUUCAUUCAUUCAUUCAUAGUUUUUGAGUUGAAUGUUUUAUUUACAGGUUCAAAUAAUCUGUUUUUUUUUUUUUUUUUUAGUGUAUGUGAUCCACUUCUCAGCUAUUCUGGCACUUUAUUUUCUCUGUCUGGCUGAAAUAAUAUGAUUUUAUUUAUAAAGACCAUAUUCGUUUACUAUGGAAGCCCGUUUCCGCCACAGAAUUAAAAAAGUGACUUUUUAAUCUCACAGUUUGGACUUCCUUUUGCACAAUUCUGAGAACUGUGAGAUAUAAACUCAGAAUUCUGACUUUUUCUCCCAAUUUUGACUUUAUAUCACAAUUCUGACAAGUCUCACAUUUAGGAUUUUUCUUCAUUUGCGAAUUAACAUCUCAUAACUCAGAUUUUUAUUUCCAUCAUGAAAUAAAAACUUUUCAUCUUACAAUUCUGACUUUUUCUUCAUAAUUGCGAGUCAAACAGCCAGAAUUAUAAGAUAUAAAUUUGUAAUUCUGACAAAAUUAGUUCUCAGAACUACAAAUUUAUAUCUUAUAAUUCUGACUUUUUGUCUUGCAAUUGUGAAAAAAAAAAAAGUCAGAAUUGUAAGCUAAAAAGUUGCAGGUACUUUUUUUUAUUAUUCCAUGAUGGAAAUGGCUUUCAUAGUUUACUGAUUGCUAUAAUUUUUCCAUUAUUUCCAAUAUUUAUAUAUUUAUAUGUUUCUUGAUUUCAGGCCUAUCAUGUUUAAUCAUAUUUUGUUUCUAACCAUAUAUGCUUUAACUUUUUUCUAUUCUAAAACAGUCUACAAAGCAAGUAUUUAUUUACACCAAUGUAUUUAAAAAUAAAAAAUAAGCAAGCAAGUAAAUAAAUAAAUAAAUGAGUAAGUAAGUAAAUAAAUACAUAAGAAAAUAUUUGAAGGUUUAAAAUCUGAAUAUAC
ensembl:lncRNA